rnacentral:rRNA from 1 species
UAGCCUUGACAUUGAUCGAAUACACCAGAGAUGGAGUAGUGCCUUUCGGGGAACUUGAAAAC